rnacentral:misc_RNA from 1 species
GAUGAAGAACGUAGCGAAAUGCGAUAAGUAAUGUGAAUUGCAGAAUUCAGUGAAUCAUCGAAUCUUUGAACGCACAUUGCGCCCGCCAGUAUUCUGGCGGGCAUGCCUGUUCGAGCGUCAUUUCAACCAUCAAGCCCCCGGCUUGUGUUGGGGACCUGCGGCUGCCGCAGGCCCUGAAAAGCAGUGGCGGGCUCGCUGUCACACCGAGCGUAGUAGCAUACAUCUCGCUCUGGGCGUGCUGCGGGCUCCGGCCGUUAAACCACCUUCAUAACCCAAGGUUGACCUCGGAUCAGGUAGGAAGACCCGCUGAACUUAAGCAUAUCAAUAAGCGGAGGA